rnacentral:rRNA from 1 species
UUUAUUGGAGAGUUUGAUCCUGGCUCAGGAUGAACGCUGGCGGCGUGCCUAAUACAUGCAAGUCGAGCGAAUGGAUUGAGAGCUUGCUCUCAAGAAGUUAGCGGCGGACGGGUGAGUAACACGUGGGUAACCUGCCCAUAAGACUGGGAUAACUCCGGGAAACCGGGGCUAAUACCGGAUAACAUUUUGAACCGCAUGGUUCGAAAUUGAAAGGCGGCU